rnacentral:rRNA from 1 species
CCUACGGGGGGCUGCAGUGAGGAAUAUUGCGCAAUGGCCGAAAGGCUGACGCAGCGACGCCGCGUGAGGGAUGAAGUCCGUUAGGAUGUAAACCUCUUUUGCAGGGGAUGAAUGUCCCGAUUUCUCGGGAUUGACAGUACUCUGCGAAUAAGGAUCGGCUAACUACGUGCCAGCAGCCGCGGUAAUACGUAGGAUCCGAGCGUUUUCCGGAUUUGCUGGGUGUAAAGAGCGUGUAGGUUGACCCGUUAGUGAAAUCCUGCGGCUCAGCCGCAGAAUUGCUUUCGAAACUGGAGGUCUUGAGUGCGGCAGAGGGAGAUGGAAUUCAUGGUGUAGCGGUGAAAUGUGUAGAUAUCAUGAAGAACACCGGUAGCGAAGGCGGUCUCCUGGUCCGCAACUGACACUGAGGCGCGAAAGCGUGGGGAGCAAACAGGAUUAGAUACCCGAGUAGUC